rnacentral:rRNA from 1 species
UACGAAGGGGGCUAGCGUUGCUCGGAAUCACUGGGCGUAAAGGGUGCGUAGGCGGGUCUUUAAGUCAGGGGUGAAAUCCUGGAGCUCAACUCCAGAACUGCCUUUGAUACUGAAGAUCUUGAGUUCGGGAGAGGUGAGUGGAACUGCGAGUGUAGAGGUGAAAUUCGUAGAUAUUCGCAAGAACACCAGUGGCGAAGGCGGCUCACUGGCCCGAUAUUGACGCUCAUGUACGAAAGCGUGGGGAGCAAACAGG